CCAUCACCAACAACUCCAUCACCAACAACUCCAACACCAACAAUACCUUUAGUAUUUUAUGAAUACCAGAUUAUUACCGAGGUGAAUACCAGCGAUGUGGAUCAGCUGAGAAACGUCCUGAACAGUUUAACUUUUCCUGUCCAGAUCAGCUCCUCAGUUAACAUAUUAGAUGCCAAUAUCACCACAGUUUGCAGCCAAGAUAACACUGGGUUUCAGUGCCACUGUGAAAAUGACUAUCUUUGGCCGUGUGAUAAGUGUGACACCUAUGGGAAAUGUGAUGGUAAUACAAGCAACACAUGUGGAUGCAUCAAUGCCAUUCCUCCUGAUGGACAAUACUGCCAGCCUGCUGAUCAAUACAAUGUUACAGCUUGUCCUCUUUUAACAACUCCAUCACCAACAACUCCAUCACCAACAACUCUUCCUUCAACAACUCCAUCACCAACAACUCUU